AUACUCGGGUAAUCGCUGCGCAGUUAUACUACGCAGAGGAAAGUCCAUGCUCGCACAAACUGAGAUGUUUGUAGUGUUCGUGCUUGACGAAAUCAUAAGUCAAGGGAGUUCAUCAGAACUCACGGCAGGGAAAAUCCCUAAGUCUAUGAUAAGGGAUGACUACCUUGAAAGUGCCACAGUGACGGAGCCGGAGUAGAAAUACUUCGGGUGGAACGAGGUAAACCCCACGAGCGAGCAACCCAAAUAUAGGUAGGGGCACUUUUCAAUGGGAAUUCAACCAGAGAAGAGGCCGUUUAGCGGCAGAUAGAUGAUUGCCACCGGAGUACGAGGUUGACCACCGUUUGCAGUACAAUGGCACAGAACAUGGCUUACAGAG
rnacentral:RNase_P_RNA from 1 species